rnacentral:rRNA from 1 species
UACGUAGGGGGCUAGCGUUGUCCGGAAUCAUUGGGCGUAAAGCGCGUGUAGGCGGUUCGGUAAGUCCGCUGUGAAAGUCGGGGGCUCAACCCUCGAAUGCCGGUGGAUACUGUCGGACUAGAGUACGGAAGAGGCGAGUGGAAUUCCUGGUGUAGCGGUGAAACGCGCAGAUAUCAGGAGGAACACCAAUUGCGAAGGCAGCUCGCUGGGACGUUACUGACGCUGAGACGCGAAAGCGUGGGGAGCGAACAGG